rnacentral:rRNA from 1 species
AUGCCCGCCGCCCGCUUCUCCCUGCCACUCCCCAUGCCCAAAGGCAUCAUACCCUACCACAAACGUUGGAACAUAAUGGGCUGCCGCCACGGCCUCGCCGUCCUAGUCAACUUGUCGCAACACGAGAUCAUGGUGUUGGAUCCCCUGAGCCGGCAACAGUACCACGUGACUUGUCCACCAGGGCUCAUGCUUGGGCAGGACUCCACCGUGGUGUGCUGUCAUGCUGCGGUGGUGUGCACUGACAAUGAAGAUGGGCACGUGCAUGGCGAUUGCUUCUCGAGACCGCUCAAAUUGGUCUUUAUCUGGGUCACUGAGAACCUAGAAGACAUGCACACGCAAGCAUUCGCUUGCCUCUAUGAAUCGGUGUCUGGUCUAUGGGGAGAUAUUUCCUCUAUGGAGUGUACGUACGAGGUUUAUGACAUAGGGCCUAGUGUCCUUGUUGAGAAUGCACUUUGUUGGUUGCUUUUUGGAAGUGAUGUCCUUGUAUUUGAUCUUCAGAGUCAGAGACUUAGUGUGAUCAAGAAGCCGAUAGACACCGACUCCUAUGGAUCAGUCCAACUCUUACGGACGGAUGAUGGUGGACUUGGCCUUGCAUAUUUGUCGGAACUGACCAUCCAAUUAUGGGAGAGGAAAUCAAACUGUGAUGGUGUUGUCAGUUGGGUGUUGUUGCAGAAAACCAUUCAAUUGGAUGAGCUCUUUCCACACAGAGUGUUUAGUGACUUCAAAAUGGUACUGAUAUCGGGGUAUGACGAGGACACACAUGUUAUUAUUCUGUCUGCGGUGACUGGCGUGUUCAUGCUCCAACUUGACUCCAUGCAGAUCAAUCAUAUUACCAAAAGAAAUAGCAUAUAUUACCUCACCUUUCAUCCCUACACAAAUUUCUAUACUACAGGCUAUACCUCCAUGCCUACAUGGGACAAACAGUAA